GCCUCUGUGGUGUAGUGGUAGCACACAUCGCCGGUAUGGAUGAAAAACGGGUUAAACUCCCGUCUGAGACU